AUUGAACGCUGGCGGCAUGCCUUACACAUGCAAGUCGAACGGCAGCACGGGGGCAACCCUGGUGGCGAGUGGCGAACGGGUGAGUAAUACAUCGGAACGUGUCCUGUUGUGGGGGAUAACCCAUCGAAAGGUGAGCUAAUACCGCAUGAUCUGGAGACAGCAAAGCAGGGGAUCGCAAGACCUUGCGCGAUUGGAGCGGCCGAUGUCCGAUUAGCUAGUUGGCGGGGUAAAGGCCCACCAAGGCGACGAUCGGUAGCUGGUCUGAGAGGAUGAUCAGCCACACUGGGACUGAGACACGGCCCAGACUCCUACGGGAGGCAGCAGUGGGGAAUGUUGGACAAUGGGGGCAACCCUGAUCCAGCCAUGCCGCGUGAGUGAAGAAGGCCUUCGGGUUGUAAAGCUCUUUCGGUGGGAACGAAACGGUGGAUGCUAACACCAUCCACUACUGACGGUACUCACAGAAGAAGCACCGGCUAACUACGUGCCAGCCGCCGCAGUAAGAC
rnacentral:rRNA from 1 species